GCGCCGUUACCUCAGCUGGAUAGAGGAACUGACUACGAAUCAGUCUGUCAUAGGUUCGAAUCCUAUACGGCGCACCA
rnacentral:tRNA from 2 species